CCUACGGGGAGCAGCAGUGGGGAAUAUUGCACAAUGGGCGAAAGCCUGAUGCAGCGACGCCGCGUGAGGGAUGAAGGCCUUCGGGUUGUAAACCUCUUUCAGCAGGGAAGAAGCGCAAGUGACGGUACCUGCAGAAGAAGCGCCGGCUAACUACGUGCCAGCAGCCGCGGUAAUACGUAGGGCGCAAGCGUUGUCCGGAAUUAUUGGGCGUAAAGAGCUCGUAGGCGGUUUGUCGCGUCUGGUGUGAAAACUCGAGGCUCAACCUCGAGCUUGCAUCGGGUACGGGCAGACUAGAGUGCGGUAGGGGAGACUGGAAUUCCUGGUGUAGCGGUGGAAUGCGCAGAUAUCAGGAGGAACACCGAUGGCGAAGGCAGGUCUCUGGGCCGCAACUGACGCUGAGGAGCGAAAGCAUGGGGAGCGAACAGGAUUAGAUACCCUGGUAGUCCAUGCCGUAAACGUUGGGCACUAGGUGUGGGGCUCAUUCCACGAGUUCCGUGCCGCAGCAAACGCAUUAAGUGCUCCUCAUGGGAGACCCGACCG
rnacentral:rRNA from 1 species